GGGGUCGACUGGUUUUGACAGCGAGAUUAAUUGAACGGUAAGCACGUCGUGUAAUGACAUUGAAACACGUUAAAGGCUAGGUCAACUUUUAAACGGCGAAAAUAAUUACGCUUUAGCUGCAUAAUCUGAAUUAUAGUAAGAUUAGCCUAGGCACACAAGGUGUGCAAGCUUUAUGUCUCCAGAAAGCCUUUGUUAACGGCGUUCUAUUUUGAGGCAUCGUAAAUGUUAACAUAGAUUGGGUAGUGCUUUGAUGCCCUUUUGAAACUAAAAAAGAUAAGUUAUAAGUAGGUUGUCUUUAACCAGCUUAUAAUCGAAAAUCCAAGAAAAGAAUAAGCGUGUAGAAAGCUCUUUGAUUACUUGUUUGGACGAGAGUUCGAUUCUCUCCGACUCCACUA
rnacentral:tmRNA from 1 species